CCUUAUCAUUCGACUGUCCAGACUGCAUAUGUGACCUGGACGGAGAACUGAUAAGGGC
rnacentral:pre_miRNA from 1 species